UACCAGCACCCCGAGUGGUCGGGACGUUUAUUGGGCCUAAAGCAUCCGUAGCCGGUUCUACAAGUCUUCCGUUAAAUCCAACUGCUUAACAGGUGGGCUGCGGAAGAUACUAUAGAGCUAGGAGGCGGGAGAGGCAAGCGGUACUCGAUGGGUAGGGGUAAAAUCCGUUGAUCCAUUGAAGAACACCAGUGGCGAAGGCGG
rnacentral:rRNA from 1 species